rnacentral:misc_RNA from 1 species
GUGAAAUCUUCCGAGAAGCAACAUCCCUAUAAAAUGCAAAUUGCAGUGAAAACUAUUCCUGUACCUCCUAAAGCAUCCAACCCGGUUUUCUCUGGAUCAACAGCAGAGCCGGUUGUGGUUAUAGCUGAUUCUGAACAGUCUCCAGAGGCAGCUCCUGCUAUAGUUGAUACCUCACCCGCUGAGCCUCCCAAAGUUGACUAUCCUACCGAUCUUUUUGACAUGCUUUCUAUGGAGAGCACUGGUGAAAAUGAAUCCAACCCAUCUUCAGCUAAUGAUAACGGAUGGGAAGCUUUCCAGUCUGCAGAAGCAACCAGAGUUUCAGAGAAAAGCAGCAAAACAGAUCCGC